ACUGCAGCUGGAGAAUCCACAGCCACGGUUUCUGUCUCUGGAAUGAUUUCCACUGCAGCCGAAGGAUCCACAGGUGCAAUUUCUGGCUGUGAAAUGAUUUCCACUGCAGCCGGAGAAUCCACAGGUACGGUUUCUGUCUCUGGAACGAUUUCCACUGCAGCCGGAGGGUCCACAGCCACGGUUUCUGUCUUUGGAAUGAUUUCCACUUCAGCCGGAGGGUCCACAGGUGCAAUUUCUGGCUGUGAAAUGAUUUCCACUGCACCUGGAUGAUCCACAGCCACGGUUUCGGUCUCCAGAAUGAUUUCCACUGCAGCUGGAGGAUCCACAGCCACGGUUUCUGUCUCUGGAAUGAUUUCCACUGCUGCCGGAGGAUCCACAGGCGCUGUUUCAGGUUGUGAAAUGAUUUCCACUGCAGCCGGAGAAUCCACAGGUACGGUUUCAGUCUC